rnacentral:snoRNA from 1 species
AGGAGUGUGUUUGAACAGAACAGAUCCUGUUCAAGUAAGGUCGUACAUCCGUUUCCAUUGACACGAUGGAGACACGCACAUCAAUCUGGAAGAUGAUAGAAUGCCACGUGGUCAGGGUGUGAAUACUGGCUUUGGACUCCAUGGAGAUCCAUCCUAUGCCAAUAGAAACUUACACUGGACAGUGAUCACUAUCCAUCAGAGC